CCCCCGAUGGUCUAGUUGGUUAUGGCGUUCGGCUGUAAUGGAUUAUCUUUCUUGUAACCGAAAAAUCACCAGUUCGAUUCUGGUUCGGGGGA